AAAUAAUACUGGUUUUAUAGGGAUCUUUGUCUUGCUCUUGACUUCAAGGAGUAGGUCCUCGGCUCUCAAGAAUGUUGGCAGAGGUGCCCUCAACGCGCCUGUGCAGUGCACUCCAGGGGGCGGUCCUAAGACCGGUUGCGGUUCCGGUUCCAUCUCAGAGACACGUGAAGGUCGUUGAGUUGGUGUGGAGUUCCCCUCGGCAGGCGUGGAUGCUCAGGGAUGGAUUCCUCUUCAUCUUCAUCCGCAGCGGGUUUGGACGCCGUGGACCCUCAGUUGCAGCAUUUCAUUGAGGUGGAGACCCAGAAGCAGCGCUUCCAGCAGCUGGUGCACCAGAUGACCGGACUUUGUUGGGAGAAGUGCAUGGACAAGCCUGGGCCAAAGUUGGACGGUCGCGCUGAGGCCUGUUUUGUGAAUUGCGUUGAGCGCUUCAUUGAUACGAGCCAAUUCAUCUUGAAUCGACUGGAGCAGACCCAGAAAUCCAAGCCAUUCUUCUCACAAAGCCUUUCUGACUGAUCUCAGCAUUACCUCUUUGGAAAAGGAAGGUAGUUCAAGAAAUGAAGAGCUAUGGAUGGGAUGAUGGAAGAAACAGCUGUGGAGAGAUUGGCUCCCACCUUUUGUCACUCUUGGGACACCAUAUCAUCUGAGAAUGAACAAAGACCAGAUUUUGUGUGUG